GUCCUUGUCGAUUAGUGGUUAGAUCAUCACGUUGUGGACACACAGGACCGUGAAGACGGAGGCUCGAAUCCUCCCUGGGACA
rfam:Trametes versicolor FP-101664 SS1 unplaced genomic scaffold TRAVEscaffold_7, whole genome shotgun sequence.